rnacentral:tRNA from 1 species
GAGGGUAUAGCUCAGAGUGGUAGAGUGCAUGCUUGGCAUGCAAAGGGUCCUGGGCUCAACCCCCAGUACCUCCA